CACUUUUCCAUAUAUUCACUAAUGAUUAACCAAAUUCUCCUUUUUACUAAAUGAUUAAAAUAGGAUAAAGCCAAAGCCAGGCCAGGUUUAACAUAUUAAUAAGGCUCCAUGAGCGUUGUGUGGGUAACUAGCUUAAAUCACAGGAUAUGGGAAUCUAUGAGACUUAUUCACUAAAGUGAGAAUUGUCUGGAAUUUAGAGAGAAUUUUAAAUUUAAGGCCAAAGUGAAUAAACU